CCCAGCAGAGCCGGCGGGGCGCGGCGGCUCCGGGACUCCCUCCAGGGCCCGCGCCGCGUGGACUGUGCAGCCGGGAGAGCGCGGGGCUGCGUGGGCCCCGGAACCUCGGCGCGGAGUGGUUUCAUCUAAUAUUAAUCGUUUUAACCUCUGGUGGUUUAAGUGGUUUUAUUGGCAGGAAGAUGCAGGCAGCAGCGCAUUAGCGGCGAAGGCUUCGGAUUGCGCUCACAGGGGAAACAAUGGGCUGGAAUUUGAGAAAACAAACCCAAGAUGUUAAUUAGCCGCUAAGGCACUCGGGGCAUUUUGCAAAUAUUAACAUAGCCUACUUGUAAACUCCCGAGGGCUGCGACUUCGUUAUUUGUUUGGCACGCUUUUUAUUUAUAAUGCAUUGUGGUGUCAUUUCGAGUUGUAAAUAAUUUCUCGAGAAAGUGGGGAAAAGGGUGAUCAAUAGAGAGAAAGGAAAUUCUUUUUCCUCCAUCUCACUGUGUUCUUCUGCAUUUUUGCAGACUUCCAUGGAUCUCAGAGAAAACCGUCUAUUCUAAAGAGGAACAAGGUUGAUCCACCGGCCCAGUGCAGGUACUACUUUCUCUCCAAAACCUCUUAUGCCUUCAACCCACUGAGAUUGCCCUCCUUUGAAUUCAGGUAGUAUGUGUGCUGUGUUCUUUAAAUCGAGGAGAUGAACAAUGCAUGUUGUUUGAAUUCAUUCAUUGGAUUUAUCCUAUUUAGGAAUUGGACUUGGAACAUAUCUAAUUUCCUCUCUCUUGGGAAAAUAGUUCCCAGAAUGAAGAUCGUACAUGGAGCAAAACUGAAGAUGACAUGCAUAUAACGAGAGAAAAAAAAUAAGCCUUUGUUUUUUUUUUUUUUUUAAGCAAACCAUUAUGCACUUGGACAAUUAGAAUUGCAAUUCAGAAGACACAGAUUCGGAUAGAAGUCUGAAUUAGAUUCCCUAAAAAAUCAGUCUUUGUUGUUGUAAGCCAUUAGGAUUUUUGAAAUUGUUUGUUACUGUAGCACAACAGAGUGAAAAGCUGGCUGAUGUUGUGGGCUUCAUAUUUGAGAAAAUAUGAGACUGGAAGGAUGAGUGAGAGUUUGCCUGCCUGGAGGAAGCUGGUGGCUUGGGACAUUCGAGGCAAAAAGAAGACCCCCUUGAGGGAUACAUUUUCUCAGCACACCGAAUUCUGUAAUAUCAAGAUCUAGUUCCCAAAUCCCCUGCUUGUUCCAUGGAUUUUGAAUUGGAAGUACUCGAGAAUUUUCAUCUGUGUCCUCUUCUCCCAAAGUUUGCAGCCCACAUAUGUUAGAUGUGAAAGAGACAGGAGGUACUGAGGGGAGGGGAGCCAAGAGGUACUGAGUACCCACCUGCCAGUCUUGGUGCUGAAAGCAUUUUACUUCCCACCGUCAUUUGCCUCUCUUGGGCUCUGAAUGAAACUUCCAUGUCAUCACUCUUCUGUUUCACCAGAAAAAUGUAAAACUUUAGCUCCUCCUACCUUAAGAGAGACAGCAAGAGAGGGAACACAACAAGGGUGAGGG